rnacentral:lncRNA from 1 species
GGCCCAGAACCAGGUGUGGCUGGGCAGUUGGUGUCACCCUCCCAGCAGGGCUGUUGUGCAGGGGGUGGGAGCUCAGUGUGCUCUGCUUGUUCACCUGGAGCUGUUUGUCCCUGCAGUGACAUCCACAGCUGCCAGCACGGCCUCCACCACCAGCACCACCUCAGUGCUGGGCUCCACGGGGCCCUCCUUGUUUGCAUCUGUGGCAACUUCUUCAGCCCCAGCCUCCUCCAGCACCACGGGCCUCUCACUGGGUGCCACCUCCACUGGUUCCACUGGGACAGCCACUCUGGGGACACUUGGCUUUGGAUUGAAGGUUCCUGGAACCACAGCUGCCACCACAAGCACUGCCACUGGGACAACUUCUGCUUCUGGCUUCCCUUUGAACCUGAAGCCACUGACCACCACAGGUGCCAUUGGAGCUGUGACCUCCACAGCUGCCACAACCACAGCCACCACAGCCAGUGCCCCCCCAGUGAUGACUUAUGCCCAGCUGGAGAGUUUGAUCAACAAGUGGAGCCUGGAGCUGGAGGACCAAGAGAAGCACUUCCUGCACCAGGCCACACAAGUCAAUGCCUGGGACCGCAUGCUGAUCGAGAACGGGGAGAAGGUGAGGAGGCCUCCAGAGCAACCUCAUUCUGCUGGCUUGGCUCCUGCAUGGCCCUGUUACAG